UGGGUCUAUGACGAUGAGCUUAUUUUCGGUGGAUUCCAAGUGCGGUGGUGGUCGGUUUCUGAGUCAAAACAAAGUUGGUGUCUUGAGCUUUUUCCGGUGAUGGUGGUUAUGAGUGCAUGUGGAUCUGCAGUAGAAAUACUUCCCUCAUCUUCUUUAUUUUUUGUUUGGUUGUUAUGUUGGGUUAUCAUGUUGUUGUGGUAUAUGUUAUUGUUG
rnacentral:lncRNA from 1 species